CGUGGGUAACCUGCCUUAUAGUGGGGGAGUAGCCUUUCGAAAGGAAGAUUAAUACCGCAUAAGAUUGUAGUAUCGCAUGAUAUAGCAAUUAAAGGAGCAAUUCGCUAUAAGAUGGACCCGCGUCGCAUUAGCUAGUUGGUGAGGUAAUGGCUCACCAAGGCGACGAUGCGUAGCCGACCUGAGAGGGUGAUCGGCCACAUUGGGACUGAGACACGGCCCAGACUCCUACGGGGAGGCAGCAUG
rnacentral:rRNA from 1 species